AAAUUGAAGAGUUUGAUCAUGGCUCAGAUUGAACGCUGGCGGCAGGCCUAACACAUGCAAGUCGAACGGUAACAGGAAGCAGCUUGCUGCUUCGCUGACGAGUGGCGGACGGGUGAGUAAUGUCUGGGAAACUGCCUGAUGGAGGGGGAUAACUACUGGAAACGGUAGCUAAUACCGCAUAACGUCGCAAGACCAAAGAGGGGGACCUUCGGGCCUCUUGCCAUCGGAUGUGCCCAGAUGGGAUUAGCUAGUAGGUGGGGUAACGGCUCACCUAGGCGACG
rnacentral:rRNA from 1 species